rnacentral:rRNA from 1 species
UACGGAGGGGGCUAGCGUUGUCCGGAAUUACUGGGCGUAAAGCGUGCGCAGGCGGUUUUGUAAGUCUGUCGUGAAAGCCCCGGGCUCAACCUGGGAAUGGCAUGGGAAACUGGCGGGCUGGAGUGUGGCAGAGGGGGGUGGAAUUCCGCGUGUAGCAGUGAAAUGCGUAGAUAUCGUGAGGAACACCAGAGGCGAAGGCGGCUACUUGGACAAUUGCUGACACUCAGGCACGAAAGCGUGGGGGAGCAAAAGGG